GGUUCAAUGGUGCAACGGUUAGCACUCUGGACUCUGAAUCCAGCGAUCCGAGUUCAAGUCUCUGUGGAACCU
rnacentral:tRNA from 1 species